CGGGGCUGGCAGCUCCCGCAGCCCAACAUGCUCUGGGCUGCACGGGGAUGUUUCCUGCUCUGGCUGCUCCCGUCCAUCCUCAGAGCCCGGGCUAGCCCGGAGACGAGGCCCAGCUCCCCGCUGUGCCAGCAGAGCCCCACGAAGGUGUCUUGCAAAGGAGUUGGCCUGCGGAAAUUUCCCAAGGAGCUUGGCCAAGGAAUUAAGUACCUUGAACUCUCCAACAACUUUAUCCAAAACCUGUCAGGUAGCAACAUGCCAGGAUUGGGGCAGCUGGAGUACCUGGAUGUGUGCUUCAACCAGCUGGAAGCCGUGUCAGCCACCGCCCUGGCUCAGCUGCCUCGGCUGCGCUCGCUCCUCCUGGCAUCGAACCACCUGGACCAGAAUUACUUGGCUAAUGGGGAAGCUUUCCAUAUGCUCAGGAAUAUAGAGGUCCUGGACCUGUCUAUGAACAACCUGGAGAGCCACAUGGCCAGCUGGUACAUCAGCAACCUCACCAGCCUGAGGGUGCUGUAUCUCUCUGGGAACAGGAUGACCAAGCUGCUGGCAGGGACCUUCCGGAACUCUCCGCAGCUAAGCCAGCUCGACCUAAGCAACAACUACAUCUUGGAGAUCCAGGAGGGAGUUUUUGAGCCUCUGGAAGAGCUAGAGGUGCUGAACUUGGCUUUGAAUUCCCUCCACUGUAUCUCUGGCUUCAGCCUCAUGCAGCUGCGAGUUCUAAAUCUCAGCCACAACGCCCUGGAGCUCUUCUCCUCCGAGGAGGGAGUGGAGCCCUACCUGCUCCGAGUGCUUGACUUGAGCCAUAAUAGACUCCUCUCUUUUCCAGAGCUCCCCAGAGCCCAUGAUCUCACACACUUAAACCUCUCCAAUAACCUCAUUGCUUCCCUGCUGCCAGGCUCACCCCAUCCCAGGGAGUUAGUCCUGCUUUACAAGGAGAUGCAGAGGUUCAACAGGACCGUGCGUCCCGUGGCCGCUCUGACACGUGUGGCUGACCUGGAUCUCAGCAAUAACCGCCUGGAGCUGUUCCCAUUUUCCUUCUUCCACAGACUGAGUUCCCUGCACAGGCUCAGCCUGGCAAGGAACUGCCUCCAGGACGUGGCCAGGGGGUCUGUCUCCAAUGGCACGGAGCUGUCUGUGCGCUCAUUGGACCUCCACAGCAACGCCCUCCGUGUGCUGCCACGCUGGUUCUUCGAUUCCCUGCCUCACCUGGAAUCCAUGGAUCUGGGCUCCAACAGCCUCCAGCCUUGUGAGAGCCAGGGAAGUGACCAGGGAAAGGAUUUAGGGAGGGAUUCUCACACAUCAGCCCCCGCAGUCACCUGCACCCCCUUCUACAGCGUGCCUCGCUUGAAGCACCUGAGCCUGUCCAAGAACAGCAUCUCCAGACUGCAGCCCCAUGCCUUCAACCAGACCCCCCUGCUCUCCCUGGACCUGUCAGGAAACAGGGACUUGGCCAUGGCCACAGGAGCACUGGGGGGGCUGGAGCUGUCCCUGCAGGAGCUCUCUCUGAGGGACAACCAGAUGGACGAGGGCCAUGCAGCGCUGCCCUGCCUGGGCACGCUCCGAGUGCUGGACCUGUCGGGCAACCGCCUGAACCUGCUGCCCACGGGGCUUUCCUGCUCCCCACUGGAGAGCCUGGACAUUCGGAAUAACAGCCUGCAGAGCCUGGUAUCAGUCAGGAGCUGGUCUCACAGCCUGAGGGCUGUGUCUGUGGCUGGGAACCCCUGGAGCUGCUGCUCGCUGGGCUGGCUGGACACGCUGCGCGCGGCCGGCGUGGCCGUGCCGGACCUGCACCAAGCCCGCUGUGUUUUCCAGGAGCAUGGCCGGAAUAUCUCGGCCAGCAUCACCGGCACUCCCGGCUGGAUCUGUCCCCAGCCCGAGGGCACUGCCUCCCUGGCUCUGCUGGUGGCCUUGAUUGGCCUUUCCCUCCUCGGUGCCUGGGCUUUCUGCCUCCUGAGGAAAGGGAGGAAGGCUCCGGGAUGUGCGGGACUCGAGAGAAACAGGGUGGGAAUCUCCCAACCCCACCCCAAAGGAGAGGGGCCAGCCGAGGAGAGGCCACCUGACAGCAUCACCAAAGUGUAGCCCAGAUCUGCAGCCAUCGGUCAGAACUCUAAUUAUUAUUAAUAAUAUUAAUAAUGUUACUGUGGUUUAGAUCUCACUGGUACCUGCGUGAUUUGUGACCCCAGUGACAGGAUUGUGGUGGGUGCUGGGCUCUGAGCCACCUCCUCUUCUCCCAUCCUCUCUGAUCCCUGACAGAAAUUGAACAUGGAAUUUGGGGUGCCAUCACACAUUCCCAUCAGUGAGCACAGGAAACCAGGUCCUGGGCUGGCUGCAUUGAACACCCCCCUUUCUCUACAUCACACUCAGCUGGAUAAGAAUUGUCUCCAUUUGAGCUUCCCAGCUUGCCUAGCAGCCCCUUUAAGAAGGUUUUAAAGCUCUGCUAAGGCCCUGCAGCUGUUCCUGAGGCAUUCCCUAAUCCAGGAAGAAGCAGGAGGGAUUGGGUAUAGCGCUUGGUGGUGGCUUACAGUGCUAGGGUGGGGAUGGGCUUUCUGUGGGACCCUGCCCAUCUCUCUGCUGAAUUCCCUUGCUGCGGAUGCUGGGAGGAAUUCCGCCCUGUCCUCCCUCACUGGGAUAGUGGGAGUGGGAGAAAUAGGGGUCUGUGCUGUCCCUGGCUGGCACAAGAUGCCCCAUACUUGGUGCCAGGACUGUCAAGGUGAUGGUGGCAGAGACAGCUGGUGCCAGCAUGAGGUAAGUGCUGCCCAGGUCAUGAUCCUGGAUGAAUUUGGCACCCUCUGAGCAUCCCCCAAAGCCAGGGAUGAUCCAGGGGCUCAGACCCCAGCUCAGGAAGGCAGCUGGAGGAGGUGUUGAGUGAGAUUGUCACUGUGUGGUCAUGUCCAUCUCUCCCUUGAGUCACCUAUCCGGUUUCCCAGGGCAGAGUGAGAGCACCUGAAGGGCUGGGCCAACUCCAGGAAGUAUAAAACUGAAGCUGCAGUGAAACCUUUAAUGUUUCACAUCCAUUUGGUUCUGCAUUGGAAGUCCCCAGCUGGGCCCAGUCACCUCCACACACCUGGUGCUUCCCGGCUCCAUCCCCAGUGCUGUUCCCAGCUGAUGCCCCUGGGGAGCCACAGCCAGCUGGGCUUUGGGAAUGGAGUGCCCCAGGAGUUGCUGUGCCCACCUGGGGCUUCUCCCCAGCAUUGUCCCCUGUCCCUGGGUGACACCUGAGCUCCCUGGGGCAGGCACCUGCUUUCCCAGUGUCCACAGAGCUUCAUCUGCUGCAGAAGCUGAAGGAUAUCCUGGAAAGUGCCUGUCAGAUCUCUCUCCUCAGGCCACCCCAGCUGGGCAGAGAGCAUUUCUCCUCCUCUGUGUUCAGACAGAGCCUAAAUUAACCUAAAUCUCCCCAGUCCUGAUAAGAUAAGGAAGAUAACGAGUCCUUUCACCCAGCUGAAGGUAAAUCCCCUUCCAGAGGGGCAGCUGGAGGUACCAUUUCUUUUAUUUUCCCUAUAUUUCUGCAGCACCCAUUCCUGAAUCUUUCUUAUCUCAUCGAGGCCCGUCCUGACGCCGUGUUCUGGCUGCCUGGGAUGUUCUCCUGCUGAAUGUGGCGCUUUCUCUGUGGCUUUGGGAUGGUACAAGAGGCUGGUGGCACCUCCGGGACACCGCCCUGUGUCCCUCCCAUCCUUAGGGCUGCUUCCCAUUAUCCCUCCCUGCCACAGCCCCUCCGUGACUGGCACAGCUCCCCUGGCAGCUCUCACCAGCCCGUGGGGAAGGCCGGGCGUGUCGUUCGUGAUGCUUUUCCUCCUCUCCAGGGGCUCUGGCCGGGCUGGGACCUCCAUCCCGAGGUGCCUCGGGGUGUGGCAGAUGCGGAGCGUGUCCCCCCGGAUCCCCCCUGCCUUGCAGAGCCCUGCGCUGCCUCUGCAGCAUCACCAGAUGUUGCCACAUGUUCUGCAGCUGGAUCCUCCCUCCCAGCUGCGCCCGGGCUGCGUGCACGGGGGCACUGCCGUGGGCACAGGCAGCUCUGGCACAGGGCUCUGUCACCCCGUGUUGUAUCCUCACAGCAGGUGCAGAUCUGCUGUCCC